rnacentral:rRNA from 1 species
UGAGGAACAUGACCUUCGGCGGGGGAUAGCCGGCCCAACGGCCGGGUAAUACCGCGUACGACCACAUGGGGACAUCCCUGAGUGGUGAAAGCAGCAACGCGCCGAUGGAGUGCCUCGCGGCCUAUCAGCUAGUUGGUGAGGUAACGGCUCACCAAGGCAACGGACGGGUAGCUGGUCUGAGAGGACGAUCAGCCACACUGGGACUGAGACACCGGCCCAGACCUCCGUAGGGACGG